GAUGAACGCUGGCGGCGUGCCUAAUACAUGCAAGUCGAGCGAACAGACGAGGAGCUUGCUCCUCUGACGUUAGCGGCGGACGGGUGAGUAACACGUGGAUAACCUACCUAUAAGACUGGGAUAACUUCGGGAAACCGGAGCUAAUACCGGAUAAUAUAUUGAACCGCAUGGUUCAAUAGUGAAAGACGGUUUUGCUGUCACUUAUAGAUGGAUCCGCGCCGCAUUAGCUAUUUGGUAAGGUAACGGCUUACCAAGGCAACGAUGCGUAGCCGACCUGAGAGGGGGAUCGGCAACACUGGAACUGAGACACGGUCCAGACUCCUACGGGAGGCAGCAGUAGGGAAUCUUCCGCAAUGGGCGAAAGCCUGACGGAGCAACGCCGCGUGAGUGAUGAAGGUCUUCGGAUCGUAAAACUCUGUUAUUAGGGAAGAACAAAUGUGUAAGUAACUAUGCACGUCUUGACGGUACCUAAUCAGAAAGCCACGGCUAACUACGUG
rnacentral:rRNA from 1 species